rnacentral:rRNA from 1 species
GACGAACGCUGGCGGCGUGCUUAACACAUGCAAGUCGAACGCGCCUGUCCUCUGGGUUUCUGGGGGGUGGGUGAGUGGCGAACGGGUGAGUAACACGUGAGUAACCUGCCCCCUUCUUCGGGAUAACGGUCUGAAAGGGCUGCUAAUACCGGGUAUUCACUGGUCUCCGCAUGGGGUCUGGUGGUAAGGUUUUUUUCUGGUGGGGGAUGGGCUCGCGGCCUAUCAGCUUGUUGGUGGGGUGGUGGCCCACCAAGGCUUUGACGGGUAGCCGGCCUGAGGGGGUGACCGGUCACAUUGGGACUGAGAUGGGGCCCAGACUCCUACGAGAGGCAGCAGGGGGGAAGAAUGCACGAUGGGCGCAAGCCUGAUGCAGCGACGCCGCGUGAGGGAUGGGGGCCUUCGGGUUGUGAACCUCUUGCGACCGUGUUCAAGCCGCGACGUGGGUCGUGGUGAGGGUAGUGAGUAAAGAAGCGCCGGCUAACUACGUG